GACGAACGCUGGCGGCGUGCUUAACACAUGCGAGUCGAACGGAAAGGCCCUGCUUGCCGGGUACUCGAGUGGCGAACGGGUGAGUAACACGUGGGUGAUCUGCCCUGCACUUCGGGAUAAGCUUGGGAAACUGGGUCUAAUACCGGAUAGGAGCCAUCUUUAGUGUGGUGGUUGGAAAGUUUUUUCGGUGUAGGAUGAGCUCGCGGCCUAUCAGCUUGUUGGUGGGGUAAUGGCCUACCAAGGCGGCGACGGGUAGCCGGCCUGAGAGGGUGUACGGCCACAUUGGGACUGAGAUACGGCCCAGACUCCUACGGGAGGCAGCAGUGGGGAAUAUUGCACAAUGGGCGCAAGCCUGAUGCAGCGACGCCGCGUGGGGGAUGAAGGCCUUCGGGUUGUAAACUCCUUUCGCUAGGGACGAAGCUUUGUUGUGACGGUACCUAGAUAAGAAGCACCGGCUAACUACGUG
rnacentral:rRNA from 1 species